rnacentral:misc_RNA from 1 species
AAAGUCGUAACAAGGUUUCCGUAGGUGAACCUGCGGAAGGAUCAUUACUGAUAGAGGAUGUGCUGGCUGCUUGGGGUUGCAUGUGCACUCCUCAAAAUCUUCAUUCUCUACACCAUUGUGCACAACCCAGUAGGCAAAACAGGUUCACAGAGCAAUCUGUGCACAUUGUCUGCCUAUGCUUUUUAUACCAAACCCCAAUAAUAUGUCAGAAUGAUGUAUUGCAGUAAGCUUUCACAAGCUGAAAUCUAAUACAACUUUCAACAAUGGAUCUCUUGGUUCUC